rnacentral:rRNA from 1 species
UACGGAGGGUGCAAGCGUUAUCCGGAUUCACUGGGUUUAAAGGGUGCGUAGGCGGGUAGGUAAGUCAGUGGUGGAAAUCUUCGAGCUUAACUCGGAAACUGCCUUUGAUACUAUCUAUCUUGAAUAUUGUGGAGGUAAGCGGAAUAUGUCAUGUAGCGGUGAAAUGCUUAGAUAUGACAUAGAACACCGAAUUGCGAAGGCAGCUGACUACAGGGAUAUUGACACUGAGGCACGAAAGCGUGGGGAUCAAACAGG